UGAUAACUUUGCGAAAUUAAUAAAAAAAUAAGUGGAUGUCGACGAGCCGGGCGUCGAGAAUUCCACGAUGUGUAUAAUAGAAUCAGCUGUCCAAUCGAAUGAGGUGUUGACGCGGCGCAGUGAACAAUCGAAACGAAUGUCUGUAUUAGCGAAAGAAGUGCGGGCGAUGAUCCCGUCCUUUUUGUUAAGUUGUGUAGUGUUUUCAAAUGUUGAGUGUGGUGCGGUGCGUCGUAUGUGGUGAGAUCCUAAGCGUUCUCAACAGUUUUCCUGACAUUCUCUCAACGCACAAGGGUGCGAUGCAAAAACACAAAGAAUGCGAACGUUUAACCUCUGAGCAAAAGAUGAGAAAUGCCUAAAUGACCGAUGUGAAUCGUCGAAGCGAUGUUAUUUCCCAUGCUGUAAUGGCUGAAAUGUCGCAUUUUGAAGAAGAACGUGAUACACAAAUAAAACAGUGAGAAGCUUAGUACCUAUUAGUGUCUUGGUAACGAAAAUAUAGUCUUUUAUUUAAAAGAAAUGCAAAAUGUUAUGGUAACUAAAACGUAACCGAAAUGCUAACAUAUGCAUUUGUAGAGGCAACAGAUGGAUAACAAAGAGAAUAAUACGACGAUGAAAAUAAAAUAACGGAUAUGCUAGUUACUGCUAACAAAUGAGUUACAAAUGCGCUAAAUGUUUAUAUGUUAGAGGUAAACAUACCGCUAACCACACCAAUAACCCUUAGGGUAACUAAUAUUGCUGUUAUGAGUAACACAUGCAUAGGUAGCCCAUUCGUUAACACAUUCGGUAGCAUAUGCAUUUUUUACAUCUAACAGACUGUAAACAGAUUUGGUAACUGAUAUGUGCCAUACUGCUAAUCAAAAUAUUAUAUAAUAAAUAACUUCAGUCA